rnacentral:rRNA from 1 species
UACGUAGGGUCCGAGCGUUGUCCGGAAUUACUGGGCGUAAAGGGCGCGUAGGCGGACAGUUUAGUCAGAGGUGAAAGCCCGGGGCUCAACUCCGGAAUUGCCUUUAAGACUGCAUCGCUAGAAUUGUGGAGAGGUAAGUGGAAUUCCGAGUGUAGAGGUGAAAUUCGUAGAUAUUCGGAAGAACACCGGUGGCGAAGGCGGCUCUCUGGACCGAUACUGACGCUGAGGCGCGAAAGCGUGGGGAGCAAACAGG